rnacentral:rRNA from 1 species
GACGAACGCUGGCGGCGUGCUUAACACAUGCAAGUCGAACGAAAAGAGGGAAAGAGCUUGCUCUUUACGGAAUUGAGUGGCAAACGGGUGAGUAACACGUAAACAACCUGCCUUCAGGAUGGGGACAACAGACGGAAACGACUGCUACUACCGAAUAAGUUACCAGGGCCGCUUGGCCCAUGGAAGAAAAGGUGGCCUCUAUCUGUAAGCUACCGCCUGAAGAGGGGUUGGCGGCUGACUAGAUGGGUUGGGGGGUAACGGGCCACCAAAGGGCCCAUCAGUAGCCGGUCCGAGAGGGGGAACGGCCAAACUGGGAUUGGGAAAAGGGCCAGACCCCUACAGGAGGGAGCAGGGGGGGAUCUUCCGCCAUGGGCGAAAGCCUGACGGAGGAACGCCGGGGGAGGGAAGACGGGCGUCGGGUUGGAAAACUCUGUGUACUGGGAAGAAAAGGCAGAGUGCGAAGAACAAACUGCAUUGACGGUACCGAAAAAGAAAGCCACGGCUAACUACGUG